GCCGGUGGCCUGUGCUGUGAGGAGCUGCUGGAGGACGGAUCCCCACUGCAACAGGAGCCAGCAGGCAGACGCUGAAGGCCGCCAGCAAGAGCAGUGAAUAUGGACCUGCUGCUGCCGCCCGAGACCCUGGGUGUCCCAUCUGCUGUCCCCGUCCAGGAGAGCUGCUCUGCACGGGAGGAAGAGACCGAGGGAGAGCCUGGGAACAUCGGCGGCUGCAAUCACUCCUGAUUUAAUUCUAUUUAUAGAUGUGUGGAGUAUGACUAAGAGAGUUAGAAGAAUGGGGAUAUUUCCAUCUGUAUAUCUAUUUGUAUGGGUAUAUUGAUGCAUGUAUAUCGAUCUGUUUACAUCUGUAGUUAUAUUUACAUACUUGUUCAGUUGGGUACCUGAAUAGAUCGAUUGAUGGGGUUGGAAUGAUUUUUAUAUUAGUACAUUGAUAUUUGCAUAUUUAUAGCGGAAUUUGAUAUGUGUGUAUUAUAGAUGUCUCAUUAUAUCUCACAUGAAAUAUUUAAUAUAUAUUUACAUCUGUAUGUUUUU